UACGAAGGGGGCUAGCGUUGUUCGGAAUUACUGGGCGUAAAGCGCGUGUAGGCGGGUCUUUAAGUCAGGGGUGAAAUUCCUGGGCUCAACCUGGGGGCUGCGUUUGAUACGUAUGGGCUUGAGUUCGGAAGAGGGUCGUGGAAUUCCCAGUGUAGAGGUGAAAUUCGUAGAUAUUGGGAAGAACACCGGUGGCGAAGGCGGCGACCUGGUCCGAUACUGACGCUGAGGCGCGAAAGCGUGGGGAGCAAACAG
rnacentral:rRNA from 1 species